CAAGCGGUGGAGCAUGUGGUUUAAUUCGAUGAUACGCGAGGAACCUUACCUGGGCUCAAAUGUAUGUUGACGUAUUCUGAAAGGGAUACUUCUUCGGACAAUAUACAAGGUGCUGCAUGGUUGUCGUCAGCUCGUGCCGUGAGGUGUCGGGUUAAGUCCCAUAACGAGCGCAACCCCUAUCAUUAGUUGCCAUCAGGUAAUGCUGGGGACUCUAAAGGAACUGCCUACGCAAGUAGUGAGGAAGGCGGGGAUGACGUCAAAUCAGCACGGCCCUUACGUCCAGGGCUACACACGUGCUACAAUGGCCGAUACAGAGGGCAGCUACCUGGUGACAGGAUGCAAAUCUCCAAAGUCGGUCUCAGUUCGGAUCGGAGUCUGCAACCCGACUCCGUGAAGUUGGAUUCGCUAGUAAUCGCGCAUCAGCCAUGGCGCGGUGAAUACGUUCCCGGGCCUU
rnacentral:rRNA from 1 species